AGGAAUCUUCCACAAUGGACGCAAGUCUGAUGGAGCAACGCCGCGUGAGUGAAGAAGGUUUUCGGACCGUAAAGCUCUGUUGUUGGUGAAGAAGGAUAGAGGUAGUAACUGGCCUUUAUUUGACGGUAAUCAACCAGAAAGUCACGGCUAACUACGUGCCAGCAGCCGCGGUAAUCGUAGGUGGCAAGCGUUGUCCGGAUUUAUUGGGCGUAAAGCGAGCGCAGGCGGAAGAAUAAGUCUGAUGUGAAAGCCCUCGGCUUAACCGAGGAAUUGCAUCGGAAACUGUUUUUCUUGAGUGCAGAAGAGGAGAGUAGAACUCCAUGUGUAGCGGUGGAAUGCGUAGAUAUAUGGAAGAAUACCAGUGGCGAAGGCGGCUCUCUGGUCUGCAACUGACGCUGAGGCUCGAAAGCAUGGGUAGUGAACAGGAUUAGAUACCCUGGUAGUCCAUGCCGUAAACGAUGAGUGCUAAGUGUUGGGAGGCUUCCGCCUCUCAGUGCUGCAGCUAACGCAUUAAGCACUCCGCCUGGGGGAGUACGACCGCAAGG
rnacentral:rRNA from 1 species